rnacentral:rRNA from 1 species
GAUCCUGCCGGACCCUACUGCUAUCAGGAUGAGACUAAGCCAUGCGAGUCGUGCGCCUCCUAGCCAUGUUGGAGGCGCGGCGUACGGCUCAGUAACACGUAGUCAACCUGCCCUUGGGACGAGAAUAACCUCGGGAAACUGAGGCUAAUACUCGAUAUGUGGAAGUGCCUGGAAUGGUCUUCCGCUGAAAAGGCGCAUGAUACAUGCAUCAUGCGUUGCCCAAGGAUGGGACUGCGGCCGAUCAGGUAGUUGGUAAGGUAACGGCUUACCAAGCCUAUAACCGGUACGGGCCCUGAGAGGGGAAGCCCGGAGAUGGGAACUGAGACAAGGUCCUAGGUCCUACGGGGCGCAGCAGGCGCGAAAACUUCGCAAUGCGCGAAAGCGCGACGAGGUUAUCCUGAGUGCCGUCUGAAAGGAUGGCUUUUCAUCGACGUAAACAGUCGGUGGAAUAAGGGGAGGGCAAGACUGGUGUCAGCCGCCGCGGUAAUACCAGCCCCCCGAGUGGUAGGGACAGUUAUUUGGCCUAAAGCGUUCGUAGCCUGCUCGGUAGGUCCUCCGUCAAAUCUGACGAUCCCAUCGUCAGACUGCGGGGGAUACCGCCGGGCUAGGAGGCGGGAGAGGUCGACGGUAGUCCAGGGGUAGGGGUGGAAUCCUAUAAUCCUUGGAGGACCACCAGUGGCGAAGGCGGUCGACCAGAACGCGCUCGACGGUGAGGGACGAAAGCUGGGGGAGCAAACCGGAUUAGAUACCCGGGUAGUCCCAGCUGUAAACGAUGCGAGCUAGGUGUUGGAGCGGCUACGGGCCGCUCCAGUGCCUCAGGGAAGCCAUUAAGCUCGCCGCCUGGGGAGUACGGUCGCAAGGCUGAAACUUAAAGGAAUUGGCGGGGGAGCACCACAAGGCGUGAAGGCUGCGGUUUAAUUGGAGUCAACGCCGGG